ACAGCAGUAGCCACGGUAAUACGAAGGGUGCAAGCGUUACUCGGAAUUACUGGGCGUAAAGCGUGCGUAGGUGGUGGUUUAAGUCCGUUGUGAAAGCCCUGGGCUCAACCUGGGAAUUGCAGUGGAUACUGGGUCACUAGAGUGUGGUAGAGGAUAGUGGAAUUUCCGGUGUAGCAGUGAAAUGCGUAGAGAUCGGAAGGAACAUCUGUGGCGAAGGCGACUAUCUGGGCCAACACUGACACUGAGGCACGAAAGCGUGGGGAGCAAACAGGAUUAGAGACCCGCGUAGUCCCUGUCUCUUAUAA
rnacentral:rRNA from 1 species